rnacentral:lncRNA from 1 species
UUUAGAUAAAAAUUAGAGCAAAAAUCAAGCAAAAAUAUCUUAAAAAAAUAAAAUUUAUAGCCUUUGGUGCACGGUGGACCAAUCGCUCGAUCCAUAGAUUCAGGGGUGCAGUCCAUGGGAACAGUUUCGUGGUGCACGACGCGGCUCACAGACGGACGAAAGGUUUUUUGCACGAUCCAAUGGCUUAAAAUGAUUCUGAGGGA